ensembl:lncRNA
CCGUCAUUUGAAGCAGGGCCUCCUGUAGUCCAGGCUAACUUUGAACUCCUGAUUCUCCUGUCUCUGCCUAUGGAAUGCUGGGAUUAUAUGCAUUCACCACUAUGAAUAGCUAGCUUUGCCUUUUCCCAAGGGUUUGUCUAUUAUACUCUUAAGUCUCCAGGCAGUGGUAUGUGGUUCACAGCCCGGGUCGGAGGUGAGCACAGCCACCUUCCUCUCUUGGCAAACUCCCUCUGUCUUCUUCAUUUUCUCUUGGUGGUUACCUUCCUUACCACUUGUGUGUGGCAUAUUUGUGGUUUGUUUUGUUUUGGAUUUUUUUUCCCCUUUCAGUCCAAUCACUGUUUUUCUCUUCAUUAUCCUCCUGUUGCAGCAUCCCAAUUACACUAGUUGCCAUGGAGACAGAUGUACUCUGAGUGGAUAUUCCUUUAGGUCGAGAGAUAGAAGCAGGAGGUAGGUAAGCCUUGUUUUUCUGCAAAUGUUUCUUAGUAACAGAAGCGACUAGUGUAGACAGUCAUAUAGAAACAGCUGUGUGAGACGUGCUUCCUUUCUCAGGAAAGGUGGCUGCCCUUUUGCUUUGCUUCUCUUUUUAAGAUUAUUCGCUUUAAGUGCUUGAGUGUUUUGUGUACACAAAAUAAAUAUUAAUAAAACGGAGCAUGUUAAAUUGACCUCCUUAGAGGUGGUCGGACUGUGAGGGCACUAAUGGGUUAAUUGUUAUGGAUUUGUGGGUCACCCGGAGAGUGACUAGAUAGAAAAGACUCCCUUUGGUGUGCCUGCUUGUAUGACCCACUUACCUUGCAUGACCUCAACAGGUGUGGCUGCAUGACCUUGACCUCUGCAUCUUUCAGAACCCUAAGUUGAAUAAACAAACCUCUUAGUCUCACAAGCUACCCAGCUUCAAGAGUUCAGUAGGAACUGAAACACCCCCAUUGACAACACACGGUCUAUUAGGGUGCCCGGUUUUUGAUGGCUUCUCUUGGGACAUCCAUUGUAUUUAACACAGUGCUUUUGGAUCUCCACCUGGAUUUUAAACCCCCAAAGCAGAGACCAAGUCUCGGGGUUACAACAUUAAGAGGUUGCUUACCACGGUGCUGACACUUGAAAACAGAACAAAAAACUUUGUGAGGCUGGGAAGGCUGAGACCAAAAGGCUACAAGCGGACUUAGUCUGACGUCAUUAUGUUUCGGCUCAGAAACUAAAAUUGAUGGGGAGGGUAAGUUUUAACUAAUUGGCUGUUAUUUUCAGAGUGCCCUUGUAAUGGCCAGAAUCAGGAGCGUGGUGACCAUCCAGAGUGCAUAGUUUAUUUUGUAGCCUGAAGACUUAAUGUACAGAAAGUUUAAGUAAUUAAUUUGUAGAUUCUUUUAAUACUUUCAUAGUACAUCAUAGAAAAGAUCAUGGCAGAUUGCCUCUAAUAGAGAUAAAGAGAAAAAUGUGAGUUUUCACUUGCGUUUCAGAGGUAACAGAAUCUUGGCAACUAGCAGCCAUUUCAAGGAAAGCGAAUUUGGGUUCUGUGUGUGGUGGUGCAUGCCUGUAAUCCCAGCUGCUGGGGUGGAUGAGACAGGAGGAUGUAAAGUUUGAGGCUAGCCUGGACUACAUGGCAAGCCUGGACUACAUGGAGAGUGACUCUGUCUCACUUAGAUCUACACACACAUACACAGACACACACACACAGAGACACACAUACACAGACACACACACACACAUACACAGACACACACAUACAGACACACACACAUACACAGACAGACACACACACACAGACACACACACAGACACACAUACACAGACACACACACAUACACAGACACACACAUACAGACACACACACACAUACACAGACACACAUUAGAAAAACUUUCUGAAUAUAGUGCUGUUUUCACUGCUCCUCUUACUGCUGAGUUGAGAUUCUGCAUGUCUACAGAUGUUGGAGAAUCCAGGAUUCACAGUUGUACGUUAGGGGACCCAGGGAGUAUGUGUAAUGUGAUGAAGGAGCUGUAAUUUGGUGCUUCUUGCCUGUUUCUGUGGUUGACCACGUGCGAGAGGGAAGCUCUAUGGACUGAGGUCCACUCCCCUCAUCGGCCAGCCUUCUUGCUCCCCUCUGUUCUGAUGAUUUGCAGACAGUGGCCCACUCACCACGCACACCUCCAGCGUUCUGCAGUUACUUUCCCAUCUCGUCUUCAUGGACCCUUAGCUGCGUAUACACACACUUUCUGUCACUUCUGCCGUAUGAUGUAAUCCAAACCUAGUUUUUGCUCCAUUGUUUUGUUUUUUUUUUAAGUUUCUUUUUGAGAUGUAUUUAUUUUUAUUUUGUAUGUGUUUUGCCUAUACUUAGUCUGCUUGCAAUGCAGUUCCAGGAGAGGCCAGAAGAGGGCGAUGGAUCCCUUGGAACUGGAAUUCCAGACGGUUGUGAGCCACUUGAGUGGGUGCUGGGAGCGGAAAUUUGAUCCUCUGCAAAAAGCUGUCAGUGCUUAGCCCUCUCUCCAGCCUCUGUGUCUCAUUCUGUAGCCAGGUUGGUCAUGAACUCCUGGUAGUACUCCUGCCUCAGCCUCCUGGAUUUCUUUACUUGCCCUUCUUCAGGGAGCAAGGGGUGCUGAUGAAGCCCCGUGCAGGAGGCCGUGGUUUGGGAAAGCUGCUUCUGAAUGGUUUUGAGAGGGCAAAGGAAGGCGAUGAGAUCAGUCACCAAGCUCCAUUUUCAUUCCUUCCGCAUCCUUUGCACAGAUGGCGGAGUCCUGUGCUGCAUUCCUUUGACUGUCGCGCGCCCAGCUGAAUUAUUAUCUCUGGUGGGGGAGUAGGGAGACAGGCUCUUUCUGUGGACCUCGGCUGUUCUGGAACUCACGAUGUAGACCAGGCUGGCCUCAAACUCACAGACCCACCUGUCUCUGCUUCCAGAGUGCUGAGAUUAAAGGCCCGCGCCGCCACACCAGGCUUGGAUUUUAUGAUACCCUUGAGAUGGCACCCUAGAGAACUCAUGCCCACUCUAGGGUGUGUACUGCUGUCCUUUUACACACACACACACACACACACACACACACACACACACACACACACACACACACACACACACACACCCUCAGGCUCAGUUUGCAUGCUUCAGUUCUUAUUAAAACCCAUUCUUAGUAAACUCAAAUUCCCCUCCCUAAAAGGACAGACCCGGAGACCCGCUUUCAUUAAACACUACAGAUGACUUAGGGUUGAGCCCAUACUCACGUUAAUUAAUUAGCUGCAUUUGCAUCCUAAGAAUCAUCUAAUUGUUUCAACGUGAAGUUUAAAAGAAAUACCUUUUAAAAAAUCAUGUGUCCUAAAAAAAAAAAAAAAGUUAAUUUAAGAGAGUGUCUGUCAAAAGAACCCGGCUGGACACUUAACAUAUCCAGGGC